rnacentral:ncRNA from 2 species
ACGUUCUUGUCGGGGUGCGUCAUACGAAGCGCUGAGAUCGGGUAGUCCCGGAUCCCGUUGAACCUGAUCGGGCUAGACUCGUCGCGUGCGACGUGCCAACCCGCGUAGGGAACAAGAGGUCUGUUCGC